UACGGAGGGUGCAAGCGUUGUCCGGAUUUAUUGGGUUUAAAGGGUGCGUAGGCGGCCGAUUAAGUCUGGGGUGAAAGCCCACUGCUCAACAGUGGAACUGCCCUGGAAACUGGUUGGCUUGAGUACAGACGAGGGUGGCGGAAUGGAUACUGUAGCGGUGAAAUGCAUAGAUAGUAUCCAGAACACCGAUUGCGAAGGCAGCUGCCUAGACUGUAACUGACGCUGAGGCACGAAAGCGUGGGGAGCGAACAGG
rnacentral:rRNA from 1 species